rnacentral:rRNA from 1 species
GAACGGUAGCACAGAGGAGCUUGCUCCUUGGGUGACGAGUGGCGGACGGGUGAGUAAUGUCUGGGAAACUGCCCGAUGGAGGGGGAUAACUACUGGAAACGGUAGCUAAUACCGCAUAACGUCUUCGGACCAAAGUGGGGGACCUUCGGGCCUCACACCAUCGGAUGUGCCCAGAUGGGAUUAGCUAGUAGGUGGGGUAAUGGCUCACCUAGGCGACGCUCCCUAGCUGGUCUGAGAGGAUGACCAGCCACACUGGAACUGAGACACGGUCCAGACUCCUACGGGAGGCAGCAGUGGGGAAUAUUGCACAAUGGGCGCAAGCCUGAUGCAGCCAUGCCGCGUGUAUGAAGAAGGCCUUCGGGUUGUAAAGUACUUUCAGCGGGGAGGAAGGCGAUGAGGUUAAUAACCUUAUCGAUUGACGUUACCCGCAGAAGAAGCACCGGCUAACUCCGUG